rnacentral:tRNA from 1 species
CGACUCUUAGUUCAGUUCGGCAGAACGUGGUCUCAAACCCGAUGUCGUAGGUUCAAAUCCUACAGAGCGU